GAUGAACGCUAGCGGCAGGCUUAAUACAUGCAAGUCGUGGGGCAGCACAAAUAGCAAUAUUGGGUGGCGACCGGCAAACGGGUGCGGAACACGUACGCAACCUUCCUUCGAGCGGGGAAUAGCCCAGAGAAAUUUGGAUUAAUACCCUAUAAUAUUUUGAGAUGGCAUCAUCUUAUUAUUAAAGCUCCGGCACUUGAAGAUGGGCGUGCGCCUGAUUAGGAGUUGGCGGGGUAAUGGCCCACCAAGCCUUCGAUCAGUAACUGGUGUGAGAGCAUGACCAGUCACACGGGCACUGAGACACGGGCCCGACUCCUACGGGAGGCAGCAGUAAGGAAUAUUGGGCAAUGGACGCAAGUCUGACCCCAGCCAUGCCGCGUGGAGGAUGAAGGUCCUCUGGAUUGUAAACUUCUUUUAUC
rnacentral:rRNA from 1 species